AUUGAACGCUGGCGGCAGGCCUAACACAUGCAAGUCGAACGAGUGGCGGACGGGUGAGUAAUGUCGGGGAAACUGCCCGAAGGAGGGGGAUAACUACUGGAAACGGUAGCUAAUACCGCAUAACAUCGGAAGGCACCAGAUGGGAUUAGCUAGUAGGUGGGGUAAUGGCUCACCUAGGCGAAGAUCCCUAGCUGGUCUGAGAGGAUGACCAGCCACACUGGAACGGAGACACGGUCCAGACUCCUACGGGAGGCAGCAGUGGGGAAUAUUGCACAAUGGGCGCAAUCCUGAUGCAGCCAUGCCGCGUGUAUGAAGAAGGCCUUCGGGUUGUAAAGUACUUUCAGCGGGGAGGCGUUACCCGCAGAAGAAGCACCGGCUAACUCCGUGCCAGCCGCCGCGGUAAUUC
rnacentral:rRNA from 1 species